GAGCUCACGUUGGCAGCACAUAUUCUAAAAUUAGGAUAAUACAGAGAAGAUUAGAAUGAUCCUUGCAUAAGGAUGCCAUGCAAAUCUAUGAAGUAGUUCAUAUUUUU